rnacentral:rRNA from 1 species
GCAGUCGAGCGGUAGAGAGGAGCUUGCUUCUCUUGAGAGCGGCGGACGGGUGAGUAAUGCCUAGGAAUCUGCCUAGUGGUGGGGGAUAACGUUCGGAAACGGACGCUAAUACCGCAUACGUCCUACGGGAGAAAGCGGGGGACCUUCGGGCCUCGCGCCAUUAGAUGAGCCUAGGUCGGAUUAGCUAGUUGGUGAGGUAAUGGCUCACCAAGGCGACGAUCCGUAACUGGUCUGAGAGGAUGAUCAGUCACACUGGAACUGAGACACGGUCCAGACUCCUACGGGAGGCAGCAGUGGGGAAUAUUGGACAAUGGGCGAAAGCCUGAUCCAGCCAUGCCGCGUGUGUGAAGAAGGUCUUCGGAUUGUAAAGCACUUUAAGUUGGGAGGAAGGGUAGUAACUUAAUACGUUGCUACUUUGACGUUACCGACAGAAUAAGCACCGGCUAACUUCGUGCCAGCAGCCGCGGUAAUACGAAGGGUGCAAGCGUUAAUCGGAAUUACUGGGCGUAAAGCGCGCGUAGGUGGUUCAGUAAGUUGGAAGUGAAAUCCCCGGGCUCAACCUGGGAACUGCUUUCAAAACUGCUGAGCUAGAGUACGGUAGAGGGUGGGUGGAAUUUCCUGUGUAGCGGUGAAAUGCGUAGAUAUAGGAAGGAACACCAGUGGCGAAGGCGACCACCUGGACUGAUACUGACACUGAGGUGCG